GUCCCCAUAGCUCAGUUGGAUAGAGCAACGGCCUUCUAAGCCGUAGGUCAAGCGUUCGAGUCGCUUUGGGGACGCCA
rnacentral:tRNA from 1 species